rnacentral:rRNA from 1 species
GAGAUCGGGAUAACACCUGGAAACAGAUGCUAAUACCGGAUAACAACAGAUGAUGCCUAUCAACUGUUUAAAGAUGGUUCUGCUAUCACUCUUGGAUGGACCUGCGGUGCAUUAGCUAGUUGGUAGGGUAACGGCCUACCAAGGCGAUGAUGCAUAGCCGAGUUGAGAGACUGAUCGGCCACAUUGGGACUGAGACACGGCCCAAACUCCUACGGGAGGCAGCAGAC